CCUUCCCCGAUCAAAGUACGAUGGAAUAAUAAAAUGCCUCCGAUUACAUAUUCAAAAUCAAUGGCUCCAUACCUUCUACAUACAAAGGGGUGGGUGGGGUUUACCUCCUCCACUGUCAAGCUUACGAAGGGAGCAGGCAAGCGGAAUAUGGUCGUACGUACUCCAAGACAAUUGAAGAGGAAACGGAUGAGAGAAUGCUACGCGAGGAUUAAUCAGAGACUAAUUGAUCCUCCUGAGAUUAAGGUCAACCUUUUAAGACGGUGCAUUGAGAAAAAUCUGUUGAUAUUUAGAGUCGCAGCAUCAUGAGCCUAUACUUUUGUAACAACACUGUAACUGAAGAUUCAUAUCUUAAAAUGAUAAACAAGAUAUUGUAAUUUUAUUAAUAAAC
rnacentral:lncRNA from 1 species